AGUGAACGCUGGCGGUAGGCCUAACACAUGCAAGUCGAACGGCAGCACAGUAAGAGCUUGCUCUUACGGGUGGCGAGUGGCGGACGGGUAAGGAAUACAUCGGAAUCUACUUUUUCGUGGGGGAUAACGUAGGGAAACUUACGCUAAUACCGCAUACGACCUACGGGUGAAAGCAUGGGAUCUUCGGACCUUGCGCGAUUGAAUGAGCCGAUGUCGGAUUAGCUAGUUGGCGGGGUAAAGGCCCACCAAGGCGACGAUCCGUAGCUGGUCUGAGAGGAUGAUAAGCCACACUGGAACUGAGACACGGUCCAGACUCCUACGGGAGGCCGCAGUGGGGAAUAUUGGACAAUGGGCGCAAGCCUGAUCCAGCCAUACCGCGUGGGUGAAGAAGGCCUUCGGGUUGUAAAGCCCUUUUGUUGGGAAAGAAAAGCAGCAGGUUAAUACCCCGCUGUUCUGACGGUACCCAAAGAAUAAGCACCGGCUAACUUCGUG
rnacentral:rRNA from 1 species